rnacentral:tRNA from 1 species
UUUUCUUUAGUACAAAAAGUAUUUUUAACUUCCAAUUAAAAGAUCUCUAAUAAAGAAGAAAAA